UAAGACGAACCGUGCGAACGUUACUCGGAAUCACUGGGCUUAAAGAGCACGUAGGCGGCAAUCUAAGUCAGAGGUGAAAUACCAUCGGCUCAACCGUGGAACUGCCUCUGAUACUGGGUUGCUUGAGGGGGAACGGGGCAAUCGGAACUUCCGGUGGAGCGGUGAAAUGUGUUGAUAUCGGAAGGAACGCCGGUGGCGAAAGCGGAUUGCUGGGUCUCUUCUGACGCUGAGGUGCGAAAGCUAGGGUAGCGAACGGGAUUAGAUACCCCGGUAGUCCUAGCCAUAAACGAUGGGUACUUGGUAGAAAUCGCUCCGAUGGCGACUUCUGCCGAAGCGAAAGUGAUAAGUACCCCGCCUGGGGAGUAUGGUCGCAAGGCUG
rnacentral:rRNA from 1 species